GCGCGCGCCAUUUUAUGUUUGAAAAUAUGACCGUUAUCCUGACCGUCUUUCUGAUCGAGGACGUCAUUUGAAGCGAGACUGGUCUGGCCAAGGGAAGAGCACGAUAGAAAGUGGUCUGCGAGGGCGCGGGAUCAAAAAGAUGCAGUCGUCAAUGCACACAACACAACCAGUACAAAAGUAAUGGAGACCAUGUCCAAAUAUUUAAAAUAUGCACCAGAGAGGAUGGGUGGUAGUGGCCUUAAGAAGACUCUUCCUUGAAGACACCUUUUUUUCCUUCUUUUUUAAUGACUGUUGCUAGUAAAAUGUUAAGUUCUACUAAAGACUUCUUGUUCUACAAACUUUCCUUACUUUUACUUGGAUUCUUUUUCACUUAAUUGUUGAGAUUUUAGAAUGUUACGAAAUGUGUACAUAUGUUUGUUAUUAUUUUUAUAUAUAGGCUAUUGUGUAUAUUUGCAGUGUGUAUGAAAUUAGAAUUAAAAGCUUUUUCCCUCUGCAUUCUGAUAUCAUUAAACCCUUAAGAAAGUG